GGGGUCAAUGCGGAGUUCACCAUUUCCUACCAUAAAGCUGAGAUACACCAGAGAAGAUCGUCCAAACUCGCACUUCUUACAGUUCAAUUGAAGUCGGUGGUGCUUCAACACCUCCAAAACUUUCUGGACUUGCCUCAUGUGCCCUCUCAGAAAGUUGAGAAGAUCAGAAUAUCAUCAAAAUGUAUGAGGAUGAAGUCAUCGAGGAAAGGUCAUAGCACAUUAUUCAUCAGCUGCAUAAAUAUGGCUG
rnacentral:lncRNA from 1 species